GCCUUUUAGAGAAGUAUGAUUCUAAUUGAUUAAAAAAUAAUUAAUAAUGAAUUUGCUAUUCUAUAAGCCAUCUGAUUUAGAUUUUUAAAUAUGUGAUUAUUACUGAAAACUUUUUUUUCCCAUCACAUUGUAUUCAAUGUCAAAACCAAAUUUUUAGUAGGUCAACUAGUAGAAUGGCUUAAUAGUAAUGUUAAUUAUGGUUAUUGAAUUAUCUGUCAGCAUAAUUAUAGAGCUCAUUAAUUUGUUUUAAAAACUAAGUUUUUUUCAGGAGGAAGAUAUUUGAUAUCUAAAAGAAGCUCAGCAAAACUGAAAAGACAACUGAAAUAUAAGGAAAAGAUGCAACAUUUCUGUUGUUUCAGCAUGGUUCAAAUACAUAGAAAAAAAUGAAAAACAUCCUUCAAAAUUACAUAAUGAACUAUUGAAAGCAGAACCCAAGUGAAAGAAUCUUCCUUAAUUCUAUGAUUUGAGAACAAUGGUACUCUCCCUUUUGUUUUCGA
rnacentral:lncRNA from 1 species